UUCAGGGGUACACCUGAGAAACCCGAAAUGUCGAAUGGGGAAAUUCAUUCGCGUUUCGAUCGUCGGCGUUGAACGGUCGAGUGACGGAAGACGCGCGUUCGCGCGUUAGUCUUCCGCUUCUUCAGUUUUUCGAACCGGCGUCGAACGCGUGCACUUUUCCCCUAGUAGGACGUCGCGAUCCGUUGGGCGUCGGUCUAAGACUCGCGGUGGAGCACGCGCGCGAACGUUUUACGACGUUCCGCGCGCGUACCCGCGAUGUUCCGGCCGACUCGCUCGACGGUAUAACGAAGGCGAGGGGCCGCUGUCUAUCUACAUAUUCAGCGUUCGGCCCUCGGCAAGCGCGUUCGGCGUUUUGACGGCGAUCGGACCUAGUGCCGAUUCUGUCCCCGAACGACUGUUGGCCGAGGUGUUCUCGAACAGACCUCUUUGAAACGCCGAUCUGCGACGCUAUAGCUUUGGGUACUUUCAGGACCCGUCUUGAAACACGGACCAAGGAGUCUAGCAUGUGCGCGAGUCAUUGGGACACAACUAAACCUAAAGGCGCAAUGAAAGUAAAGGUUCGUCUUGCGCGAACCGAGGGAGGAUAAGCGGUUCGUUUUUCUUUAAAGCGACCGUUUCGCACUCCCGGGGCGUCUCGUUCUCAUUGCGAGAAGAGGCGCACCAAGAGCGUACACGCUGGGACCC
rnacentral:rRNA from 1 species